UAUUUAUGAGCGAUUUAAUUUCGCAAGUGCGGGUGUUUCAAAAUGUUACCAAAGUGCCCCAAACAAAAGUUAAAAGUUUCUUUGAAGAAGAAAACGAAGCGAUCACACAUUAAACCCACCAAAGUUGAUGUUUUGAUUUGGCUAGGAUAUAUAUCCAUGAUGCAGAAGUUGUCCACAGCAGCCCAACUACAGGCCAGAGAAGAAAAACAGAAUUCAUUAAACAGUUAUCAUAUCAGAACAGUAGCCAAUCAGGUCUUAAAGUCAUGCAAGGCCUAAAUUAUAAAAGAUGAAGACGUGGUGGUCACCAAAAGAUGCCCAGAUGUUGAGAUACUUAAGCGAGUUCAAUCUCCAGUCUGAGAUAGGACACUGCCAGCAACCCAACACAAUAUUUGACUUUUCACUGGCUGUUUUGGACUAAAUGCUCUAUUGUCAUUCUACACGAACUUAAUAAUAGCAACACAACAGUUCUUCUUAUAAACCAGACUCGGAUUGCUCGACAUCUAUUAUCCAUACUGAGUCAUUAAAAAGACAACUGUGACUUAUAAAAGAUAAAAUUGGUGAUAUUUAAAGUUAGUUUUUUAUUUUUGAAAUAACAUUUUAUCAGUAUGAAUUGACAGUGAAUUUAUAGACGUGUUUACAUAUGAUUAGAGUUCACUCACUUCACAACAACUGUACAACCAAAACUUCAAUGUACAUAAAUUACUGUAAAUAAAUCUUAAAGUUAUCAGUAUCAUCUCAAUUUAUGUGAAAAGAGGGGAGUGAAACAUGCAAUGUUAUAUUAGAUGUAAAAACAUUGUACUAUUUCUUAUGUGUUCUAAAGGUUGGCUACACUACUAUUUCACUACAACCUUCUACAAAUUGUGAAGAAAUUCAAGAAUGCUUAUCAAAAACUUAUUGGUCAAGACUGAAGAUAAAAACAGGACAUCCUUUACAAUGUAUACUAGGUAAGGUAAUUCCUUAUCACCAUGAAAUAUAUACAUGUACAUGUACUUGUUUUAAACACAAACUCACACC